UGGCGAGGUUAACCGAAUAGGGGAGCCGUAGAGAAAUCGAGUCCGAACAGGGCGACAGUCGCUGGGUGUAGACCCGAAACCAAGUGAUCUACCCAUGGCCAGGAUGAAGGUGCGGUAACACGCCCUGGAGGUCCGAACCCACUAAUGUUGAAAAAUUAGGGGAUGAGCUGUGGGUAGGGGUGAAAGGCCAAUCAAACUCCGUGAUAGCUGGUUCUCCCCGAAAUGCAUUUAGGUGCAGCGUUGCGUGGUUCUUGUUGGAGGUAGAGCACUGGAUGGUCUAGGGGGCUUAUCGGCUUACCGAAAUCAGCCAAACUCCGAAUGCUGGCAAGCGUAGCGUGGCAGUGAGACGGCGGGGGAUAAGCUUCGUCGUCGAGAGGGAAACAGCCCAGAUCAUCAGCUAAGGCCCCUAAGUGGUGACUCAGUGGGAAAGGAUGUGGAGUUGCGUAGACAACCAGGAGGUUGGCUUGGAAGCAGCCAUCCUUGAAAGAGUGCGUAAUAGCUCACUGGUCGAGAGGCCUUGCGCCGAAGAUGUCCGGGGCUCAAGUACAGAACCGAAGUCGCGGCAGGAUUUAUAAUUCUGGGUAGGGGAGCGUUGUAUAUCCGACUGAAGGUGUACCGGAAGGAGCGCUGGAGGAUAUACAAGAGAGAAUGCCGGUAUGAGUAGCGAAAAGAACAGUGAGAAUCUGUUCCACCGAAAGCCUAAGGUUUCCUGAGCAACGCUCGUCGACUCAGGGUAAGUCGGGACCUAAGCCGAGGCAAAAAGCAUAGGCGAUGGACAACAGGUUAAUAUUCCUGUACCGC
rnacentral:rRNA from 1 species